CCAGCUUCUCGGCCUUUUGGCUAAGAUCAAGUGUAGUAUCUGUUCUUAUCAGUCAGUAAAAGAGCUAUAUAAAGAGCAUCUGUUCUUGUUAGAACAGGGAAAGAGAUCUGUUCUUAUUAGAACAGUCCUGGCGGUCCUUUAAGGACAGGAGCUGCAGAUUACGAUUUAAAAAAAAAUCGUAGCAAUGGCAGCUGCAAU